UUCACGGAGAGUUUGAUCCUGGCUCAGGACGAACGCUGGCGGCGUGCUUAACACAUGCAAGUCGAACGGUGAAGCCCUUCGGGGUGGAU
rnacentral:ncRNA from 1 species